UUGGACGCUCGUGGUUCCUAUUGUGCUUGUAACAAACGUACGCCUCCAUGUUUAACGGCUCCGCCCUCAGAUUGCAAAGGUGACCUAAUUUUGGACGAAUGUGGAUGCUGCUACGUUUGCGCCAAAGUGAAAGGCGAAGUGUGUUUGGAACAAUAUGGACCAAUGAAAAAAUGUUCCAGCGGAUUAAUAUGUAUACUAGAUAACUAAAACGACCAAUUUUUUGCAAAAGGGAUCUGCACAACGGAAUACCCUAGAGAGGAAGGAGAAGCAUGCAGUGUAGGUCAUAUGCAAGGGAAUUGCAAAAAGGGAUUGAAAUGUGAACAUUAUCAUCCAUCCAUGAUGGGUAAAUGCGUCAAAAAUUCAUAGAUAAUAAAUGUGUUAUUCCAAAAAAAAUUUUAAAUAAAUAAUCUUCAAAUUUUAGUGUUUAAUA